rnacentral:rRNA from 1 species
AUGGUUGUCGUCAGCUCGUGUCGUGAGAUGUUGGGUUAAGUCCCGCAACGAGCGCAACCCCUGUCCUUAGUAGCCAGCAGUAAGAUGGGCACUCUAGGGAGACUGCCVGGGACAACCCGGAGGAAGGCGGGGACGACGUCAAAUCAUCAUGCCCCUUAUGAUUUGGGCUACACACGUGCUACAAUGGCGUAAACAAAGGGAAGCGAGCCUGCGAGGGGGASCGAAUCCCAAAAAUAACG